UCCGGUGGGCGGGCUGUGGUGACUUAACAGCCGGAAGGCGAGACGCCGCGGGAAAAGCGGUCAUGUUAGGUGGUCCAGGUGGUUUGGGGCUGAGGCCGUCUCCUCAAGAGUAACCGCGGGCCUGUGCUACGGUCACGCCACCGGCCUCCGUUUCCUUUAGCCUUCUCUCUCACCAAACGAUUUUCCUGUCCAGUUAUAAAGUGCAAGUUGUUUCCCCAAGGUUCCAGCAUUUCUUCAUCGGUGGUUGUUCAGCACUUAGUCAUGACCCUAGUAUUUCCAUCAGAAGAGCUGAGAUGAAGCAGUAGAGACCAGAUGUACCUUUCCCAGAUGAAACAACUAAAAAGACAAGACAAAAUAUAUUAAAGAAUGGUUCUUGAGACACUGGACACCACACAGUUAAGAACAGUGAUCCCUGAGAGAUGAGAAACAAAUAAGGUAAGCCCUUUGAUUAUCCCACCCUACUGCCUUAAAGAGAGUUUCCAGGUUACAACUUAGGGUGAGGAACCUAGGUGGAAUCCAGCACUCCCUGAGCUGAGGAGAUAAAGGUGAGUCUGGGAAAAGCAAGGCAGCUAGAAUUUGCAGGACAGAGUACCAGAGAAGAGAGACCUCUGGAGAUCUUCACAGGGUCCUCCAUGAUUAUUCAGAAAAGUGAUGACCAGUGCAUGCAUGUUAGGAGACUACUUGAGGCUGAGAAAGAACCAGCCCAAAAGGUAAGAGGGAACAGCACCUGAUGCACAUACAGGGUCAGAAAAAGUUCAUGGAACAUUUGAGUAGAGUUCUCAGAAGUUUCCUUCUUCAGUAAUGGGGAAUAAUUAGCCCUUGGUUAGUGUGCUGGUCCUGCCCAACAAAACCUAAAAAUAAGGUAUGAAGGGACCAAACUGUUUUUAAGUAGCUUAAGCACAUCCCAGAAUAAACUGGAAAUUUAUAGGAAUACAAAAAUAUCCAGCACUCAACAAGGUAAAAUUCACAAUAACUGGUAUCCAAUCAAAGAUUACUAGACUUCUAGAAAGGCAAGAAAACACAAUUCAUAAUGAGGAAAAUAAUCAAACCAACUUAGAACUUACAUAGAUUAGCAGAGGAUGACAGUAAAGCAGUUAUUUUAACUGUAUGUGAUAUGUUCAAAAAUUAAGUACAGACACGGA